rnacentral:rRNA from 1 species
ACCAGACUCCUACGGGAGGCAGCAGUGGGGAAUAUUGCACAAUGGGGGAAACCCUGAUGCAGCGACGCCGCGUGAGUGAAGAAGUAUUUCGGUAUGUAAAGCUCUAUCAGCAGGAACGAGACAAGACGGUACCUGACUAAGAAGCCCCGGCUAACUACGUGCCAGCAGCCGCGGUAAUACGUAGGGGGCAAGCGUUAUCCGGAAUCACUGGGUGUAAAGGGAGCGUAGACGGCUGUGCAAGCCUGAAGUGAAAGGCGGGGGCCCAACCCCUGGACUGCUUUGGGAACUGUACGGCUGGAGUGCAGGAGAGGUAAGUGGAAUUCCUAGUGUAGCGGUGAAAUGCGUAGAUAUUAGGAGGAACACCAGUGGCGAAGGCGGCUUACUGGACUGUAACUGACGUUGAGGCUCGAAAGCGUGGGGAGCAAACAGGAUUAGAUACCCGAGUA